rnacentral:rRNA from 1 species
CACAUGACUCUCGGCAACGGAUAUCUCGGCUCUCGCAUCGAUGAAGAACGUAGCAAAAUGCGAUACCUGGUGUGAAUUGCAGAAUCCCGUGAACCAUCGAGUUUUUGAACGCAAGUUGCGCCCAAGGCCUUUUGGUUGAGGGCACGUCUGCCUGGGCGUCACGC